UUACCUAUACCAGCCAAUCUAAUGUCAAGUAUCAUAGGAGCUAUCAUCACUACAGAACUCCUGUAGGACAAAAUUCAUCUCAUUGAUUGGAAUAUUGCAUACAGUAGGUGGCCCAUUCGCCACGAUGGGACUCAGAUUACGGCAAUUCAAGCUGCUGCUUUGGAAAAAUUGGCUGCUACAGCUUCGUAGGCCAAUCGGGACUGUUUUUGAAAUCCUCGUUCCAUUGUGUUUCGCAGCGUUGCUGUUAAUGACAAGAAUCCUUUUAAAAGCCGAGGUCAAGUGCUUUGCUACAUAUGACAACAGCAUUUCAAACGAAGACCAUACCUCUUUGUUUUUAAAUUCACCAACAAAGGCGUUAAACAAGACCGAUCUUUUUAAUAUUGACAUUGCUUCCCUCUCCGAUAAAGAGCUAUGUGACUUAGGAUUUUGUGAAAGGCUCACGUACUUCCCCCAGAAUGAACUCACAUUUGCUCUGAUGUCAACGGUGUCUUCUCAGAUUCAAAUACCACUUUCAAACAGGUCUUUCAGCUCAGAAGAGGUAAUGGCAAAGACAGCAGCCGAGGACGAAGACAACUUCUACGGAGCUGUUGUUUUCCUGUUUGAUGAGGACACUACUGAAUUACCAUUGGAAGUUAAAUACCGCAUACGCCUAUCUCAUACUCUUACGGAUUUUGGAACUUGGUAUACCAAUGAGGUCUACCCACCAUUUGAGGAAAUAGGACCAAGGGUCAUCAACGACUACAAGAACAGAUUCUUAAGCAUUCAGUUCGCAUUGGAUCGUGUCAUCACGAUUGCUCAAUCCGUAAACCAUGAUCCAAUCAAGGCUGCAACAUUAAGUCUCCAAAUGCAGCAAUUUCCGUACCCAGACUACAGGGAAGACGUCUUCAUCUCAACCAUUCAGUUCCUGUUACCCAUUCUCAUGGUUCUAGCUUUCAUUUAUUCAUCUGGAACCAUUGUAAAGGAACUCGUAAUUGAGAAAGAAACUCGUUUGAAGGAGAGUAUGAAGAUGAUGGGGUUGGCCAAUUGGAUCCAUUGGUUGGCCUGGUUUGUCAAGUCCUACACAUUUCUUCUCAUUUCUACCAUACUUAUUGUACUACUACUUAAGUUCGGUAAAGUGUUUGAGUAUAGCAACGGGAUAGUGCUGCUUUUGUUUUUUAUGCUAUGGAUGUUCGCCAGCACCAUGUGGAGUUUUAUGAUCAGUGUGUUCUUUUCAAAAUCCCGCUUAGGAUUUAUUUUUGGAUUAAUUCUUUGGUACCUUAACUAUUUACCAGUACAAUUCUUGGACUACAAUAAACAAUCAGCAACUAUAAAGACACUUGCUUCACUCUUGUCUAAUACGAACAUGGCGUUUGCAAUGAAUAUCUUCGCACGAUAUGAAAGUCGGGGAGAGGGCAUCAGUUGGGAAAACAUUAGCGUAACCCCAUCGCCAGGUGACAGUUUCAAUCUAGGCGUAUGCUUUAUCAUGCUUAUGGUGGACAGCCUUAUCUAUUUUCUGAUCAUGUGGUAUGUUGAACAAGUGUUUCCAGGACAAUACGGUAUACCGCAGCCCCUGUAUUUCCCCCUUCAAAGGUCCUACUGGUUUGGACCAUCAGCGCAUGGAGCGGAUGUCAAUCCAAAUUUCGAAAACGGAAUUGCAAUGGAAAGAAUAAGUAAAAAGAAUCAUGAGGAGGCACCAAAUUUAGAAGUUGGUAUCGACAUCAAGAAUCUACGUAAAGUUUACAAGAGUUCUGUUGGCAAGAAGCUUGCUGUAGAUGAUUUAUCUCUGAAGAUGUAUAAAGGUCAAAUCACUUCUCUUCUCGGUCACAAUGGAGCUGGCAAAACAACUACGAUGUCUAUUUUGACUGGUCUCUUUCCUCCUACCUCUGGCACUGCCAAUAUCAAUGGGAAGAGCAUAAUAAACGAUAUUCAAUCUGUGCGUUCAAGUCUUGGUUUGUGUCCGCAGCACAAUGUAUUGUUUGACCGUCUAACAGUCAAGGAGCAUCUUGAUUUUUUCAUCAAUCUGAAGGGCAAAAGUGGGAAAGAAGCUGAUGCUGAGGUUAAAUCCAUGAUACAAGAUUUGCAACUAGUAGACAAGACAAACACAGCCUCUAGUUCGCUGUCAGGCGGCAUGAAACGAAAAUUAUGCUGUGCCAUUGCUUUGAUUGGCGGAUCAGAGAUUGUGAUUUUGGAUGAACCGACGUCAGGUAUGGAUCCCUAUGCACGCCGAGCUACUUGGGAUCUCUUGCUGAAGUACAAAGCCGGAAAGACCAUGGUACUUACCACACAUUUCAUGGAUGAAGCGGACUUGCUAGGAGAUCGUAUAGCCAUUAUGGCACAUGGCCAGCUACUUUGUAGUGGUAGCUCUCUCUUCCUCAAGAACCGAUAUGGAGUUGGAUAUCACAUGACGCUAGUGAAGAACCAGGACUGCCAAGUAGAUCUUCUGACAAAAACCAUUCAAGAGUUUGUACCUGGCAGUUAUCUGGAGUCAAAUAUUGGUGCAGAAUUGACAUACAUACUUCCUGGAGAAAGCACCUCUAUGUUCCAGAAAUUGUUUGAACACCUUGAAGCUAAACGUACAAGCCUAGGUGUAGACAGCUUUGGUGUUUCAGUAACAACAUUAGAAGAAGUAUUUAUGAAGGCUGGUGAAGCCGCAGAGGCUAAAGUAAAUGGUGUUGAUACCAAUGAAGAGAAUGGAGGAGCGUCUACUACAAUGCAGCAUAUUCAAGAAGCAGGAGAGAAAGUAGACUUUAGACAACUGGAAACAAAAAGAGAAGACCUCCUUAGUGGCUGUGCUUUGAAAACACAGCAGUUUAAAGCAAUGUUCAUCAAGCGUUUUCUAAAUAGUAAACGCGACAGAAAAGCAGUCAUCACACAGUUUCUUCUUCCACUGCUUUUUGUCUUCUGCGGAUUGCUGAUCAUUUCAGUUGGUGAUGGAACUAGCAAUGAUCCUGAGUUAGAACUAAGUUUGUCAAUGUUGACUGACGCUGAGGACAAUGACCACAAGGCAUACUAUGCUAAUUUUGUGCAGAAUACUGUCCACCAAGAUGUGUUUCAGGAUCUUGAAAGCUAUUUGAAAGCACUUGACAUUAAACCAUUGAAUGUGGAAAGUAAAGUAACUCAAAUAGAAACAGACAAUACUGGGAAGGUUAAAGGUAAAGAGGUGCCUGUGAAUGCACAAUCAUGUUGCCAGUACAACUUCUUCAUUUUGAAUGCAAGUUGUGCUUUAUUGCUUAAGUCUCAAAAUGAUAUGUGUGAUGAAUAUCCAGAUUAUGCCUACACAAACUGCAAGGAAUGCAUCAAUGACACAGAGACUGAUAAUGGUGACGUCUGUCCAAUUGAUGCACAGACCAGUAUUCUAUCAGACCCCAACACUUACUUCCAGGAGUAUGUGUUACAAGAGGACAAGGAUGAUACACCAGGUUUCUUCAAUGAGUAUGUGGCAGGUUUCACUGCCAUAGACACUCCUUUUGAUGCUCAGCAAACUGUUAGUGAUUUGUAUGGACCAUAUGGAAAUGGCAAUCAGAGUUCACAAUUCAAUGCGUCAUUUGUUAAGAAACUACAAAGCACUGAUUUGUAUGACCUUGCAUUGAAUGUCACUAACGGGACAUUGGUGACAGCUUGGUACAGCAAUGAGGCAAUCCACACUACUGCGGAAGUUCUUAACGCAAUUUCCAACGUGAUGCUCAUGUCUGUUACAAAUUCAAGUUACAGCAUUAAGGCCUUCAACUACCCACUGCCCAAAAGCGCAGAUACCCUGGCUGAAGAUGCAACGUCUAAUGAAGACACUUUUGGAAUGGCCAUAUUAGUAGUUUUUGCCAUGGCUUUCUUGACUGCUAGUUUUAUAGGUUUUAUUGUCACAGAAAAAGAAAAUAAGGCAAAGCAUCUGCAGUUUGUAAGUGGAGUCGACACGUUGAGUUACUGGGGAGCUACAUUUGUCUGGGACAUGUGUAACUACACCAUCGUCUACGUCAUCAUUAUCAUUAUUUUUGCUGCUUAUGAUCUGGAUGCAUUUGGAGGGGAAAAUCUUGGCACCGUUGCAUUGAUCUUCUUCCUUUAUGGUUGGAUGUCGAUACCUUUUACCUACACCCUCUCCUUCAUGUUUAAGACGCCUGUGACGGCUACAGCUCUUACAACAUUUCUGCUUGCAUUUGUCAGCAUGAUUACAGUUAUAGCAAUUUUUAUCUUGGAAUUAUUGGGAGAAAAAAUAUCUGAUGAUUUGGACUAUGCUUUUAGCAUCAUUCCAACACAUUGUUUAGGCCGAGCGCUCAUGGUACUUUCAAAUAAUGACGCACUGAGGCGAUUCUGCACCGCUACUGAACAAGAUAAGAUAUCAUGUGGAAUGAAGGAAAUCAUAUACCAAGAGAACAAUUUAGCUUGGGAUAGACCAGGUGUCGGUAUAUACUGCUUGUAUAUGGCUGCAGCUGGCCUGGUCUUUAUAAUCCUGACACUGCUCAUCGAGGUUAACUUUUUCAUUCCAGCUCGCUCAGCAUCGUACCUGAAGGGCCAUGUUCCAAAUCCAGAUGAGGAAGAUGUUGCACUGGAGAGGGAGAAAGUUCUUGGUCUAAAUUCUCAAAACGAUGAAUCAGCUGUGUUACUAAAGAAUCUCUCUAAGGUGUAUCGAAAAAAGCCGACCCCCGCUGUAGACCAACUUUGCCUGAGCAUACCCAAGGGGCAGUGUUUUGGUCUCCUUGGUGUUAAUGGUGCUGGAAAAACCACAACAUUUGGCAUGUUAACGGGAGACCUGGGAAUCACAGCAGGGACUGCUUACAUGGAUGGAUAUGACAUCCAGACACAGAGACGAUUGGUUCAACAAAGAAUUGGCUACUGUCCACAGUUUGAUGCAUUAAUUGAACGCUUGACGGGCCGUGAAGUGUUGAGUAUGUAUGCUCGUUUGCGGGGUAUUCCAAGCCACCAGAUUGACGCUGUAGUAGAAACUACCGUCACACACUUGUCGCUAUCAAAUUGGGCGGAUAAGCUUUGUGGUGAUUACAGUGGUGGUAACAAGAGAAAACUUAGCACAGGCAUAGCAUUAGUUGGAAACCCUCCAAUUAUGUUCUUGGAUGAACCUACAUCGGGAAUGGAUCCAACUGCCCGACGCUAUCUAUGGAAUGCUCUAACAUCCAUCAUGAAGGGUGGCCGUUCUAUCGUGCUCACAUCACAUAGUAUGGAAGAAUGUGAGGUGUUGUGUACUCGUCUAGCCAUCAUGGUGAAUGGACAAUUCAAGUGCCUUGGCAGUACUCAGCACCUGAAGAGCAGAUACGGUAAGGGUUACACAAUGCUUAUCAAAAUGGAGGAAAAUUUCCAAACAGGGGGCCUCAAACAAUUUGUAAAUGACCAGUUUCCAGGAUCUGUCCUUUUGGAGGAACACCAGGGUGUGUUACAAUACCAGGUAGAAAACAGUAACCUUAGCUGGUCUUACAUCUUUGGAACUUUGGAGAACAACAAGCAGAUGUUGAAGAUUGAAGACUACAGCGUCAGUCAGACAACCUUAGAACAGGUUUUCAUUAACUUUGCAAAGGAGCAACAUGAUGAAACGGGUCAUGCCAGACGCAUGAGUAAAAAGAACAAAACAGAAUACAUAGAAAGACCAGCAACUGGAGCCAGUCUUGGUAGGAAUUCUUUGAGACGAAGCUUACGUGGAGUACAAUCACCAACUCCACAAUCACCAACUCAGCAAUCACCCACUCUGGUAUCCGAAAACCCACCACCACCUUAUAACCAAGCGCCACAGUAUACUGAAGCUUAUGAGGUUUAAAUAUGUUUAUUAUUGUACUUCAUAACGUAGUCCUACGAAAACAGAUUUAUAUCGUAAAUGAAGUGGUAGGGAAUAGUGGUCAGAAUCAGAUUAAAAUCUGAAAAUUAAAAUAAUAUAUCAUACACACGUGUGAUUCUGGACAGGUUCAAUUGAAGACAAAUAAAUCAGCAUCUAUGUCAAUGAACAAGCAAAAAUGCAAAGCAAAAUCCAAUAUAUAUA
rnacentral:misc_RNA from 1 species